rnacentral:rRNA from 1 species
GUCUAUGGUCAUGCCACCCCGAACAAGCCUGGUGUCUGAUCUUGGAAGCUAAGUAGGGUCAGAUCUGGUUAGUAUUGGGAUGGGAGACCACCUAGGAAGACCAGGUGCUGUAGGCG